rnacentral:rRNA from 1 species
GUCUUUUUGAUAAUAAUUUAAAGUCUAGCCUGCCCAAUGAUAAUUUAAAUGGCCGCGGUAUUUUGACCGUGCAAAGGUAGCAUAAUCAUUAGUUUUUUAAUUGAAAGCUUGUAUGAAAGGUUGAACGAAAAAAUUACUGUCUCAAUUUUAUUUAAUAAAAAUUUUAUAUUUGAGUUAAAAAGCUUAAAUAUAUUUAAAAGACGAGAAGACCCUAUAGAGUUUUAUAUAAUUUAAAAUUUGUUUGUAAAUAAUUAAAUUUAAUUUUAAUUUAUAUUUUAUUGGGGUGAUAAAUAAAUUUAAUAAACUUUAUAUAAUUUUUUACAUUGAUUUAUGAUAAUUUUGAUCCAUAUUUUUGAUUAUAAGAUUAAAUUACCUUAGGGAUAACAGCGUAAUUUUUUUUGAGAGUUCUUAUCGAAAAAAAAUUUUGCGACCUCGAUGUUGGAUUAAAAUUUAAUUUUGGUGUAGAAGCUAAAAUAUUGAGUCUGUUCGACUUUUAAAAUUUUACAUGAUCUGAGUUUAAACCGGUGUAAGCCAGGUUGGUUUCUAUCUUUAAAAAAUUAAAAUAUUUUAGUACGAAAGGACCAAAUAUUUAUAAAAAUUAUUUUAAUUGAAUAUUAUUGUUAUUUUGGCAGAUUAGUGCAUUAAAUUUAGAAUUUAAGAAUGUAAUUAUUACAAAUAAUACUUGUUUUAUAAAGAUUUAAUUUUAAUAUUAAUUAGAGGAUUAUUAUUAGUAAUUUGUGUUUUAAUU